rnacentral:rRNA from 1 species
UAGGAAGUGUGCCAGCAGCCGCGGUAAUACGGAAGGUCCGGGCGUUAUCCGGAUUUAUUGGGUUUAAAGGGAGCGCAGGCGGACCUUUAAGUCAGCUGUGAAAUACGGCGGCUCAACCGUCGAACUGCAGUUGAUACUGGAGGUCUUGAGUGCACACAGGGAUGCUGGAAUUCAUGGUGUAGCGGUGAAAUGCUCAGAUAUCAUGAAGAACUCCGAUCGCGAAGGCAGGCAUCCGGGGUGCAACUGACGCUGAGGCUCGAAAGUGCGGGUAUCAAACAGG